ACCAACUGGUCUCUGACUGGGUCCGUCUGCUGUUUGCUGAUGGGCAGAUCACAUCGUGCUUGUUGACAAAGAUUGAAACUUGAAUAAUGUCGGCAACAAACCCAGACACAACAACAGAGAACAUGGAGAACGAAGGCGACUACGGCUGCGUUCAGACUGACUUUGACGCUGAGUGAAAAUACGCCGCCUUCUCAACUGCUGCCGCGGCACGACAUCAUCCGGCAGGACGCCGCAUUGCCCAGAGACCUGGACCCUUCUGAUGGAUCACGGACUCACUGUCUUGUUUUGACCACUGUUCAAUUCCACUGGCUUUUUAGGAAAAUAUUA